AACGAACGCUGGCGGCAUGCCUAACACAUGCAAGUCGAACGAGACCUUCGGGUCUAGUGGCGCACGGGUGCGUAACGAGUGGGAACCUGCCCUUAGGUUAGGAAUAACUCCCCGAAAGGGGUGCUAAUAACGGAUAAUGUCUUCGGACCAAAGAUUUAUCGCCUUUGGAUGGGCCCGCGUUGGAUUAGCUAGUUGGUAGGGUAAAAGCCUACCAAGGCGACGAUCCAUAGCUGGUCUGAGAGGAUGAUCAGCCACACUGGGACUGAGACACGGCCCAGACGCCUACGAGAGGCAGCAGUGGGGAAUAUAGGACAAUGGGCGAAAGCCUGAUCCAGCAAGGCCGCGUGAGUGAUGAAGGCCUUAGGGUUGUAAAGCUCUUUUACCCGGGAUGAUAAGGACAGUACCGGGAGAAUAGGCUCCGGCUAACACCGU
rnacentral:rRNA from 1 species